AUACGGAGGUUCCGAGCGUUAUCCGGAAUCAUUGGGUUUAAAGGGUCCGUAGGCGGGAAUCUAAGUCAGUGGUGAAAUCUUGCAGCUCAACUGUAAAAUUGCCAUUGAUACUGGAUUUCUUGAAUUAGUGUGAAGUGGUUAGAAUGUGUAGUGUAGCGGUGAAAUACAUAGAUAUUACACAGAAUACCAAUUGCGAAGGCAGAUCACUAACACUAUAUUGACGCUAAGGGACGAAAGCGUGGGGAGCGAACAGGAUUAGAAACCCCAGUAGUCC
rnacentral:rRNA from 1 species